AUUGAACGCUGGCGGCAGGCCUAACACAUGCAAGUCGAGCGGAUGAGAGGAGCUUGCUUCUCGAUUCAGCGGCGGACGGGUGAGUAAUGCCUAGGAAUCUGCCUGAUAGUGGGGGACAACGUUUCGAAAGGAACGCUAAUACCGCAUACGUCCUACGGGAGAAAGCAGGCGACCUUCGGGCCUUGCGCUAUCAGAUGAGCCUAGGUCGGAUUAGCUAGUUGGUGAGGUAAUGGCUCACCAAGGCGACGAUCCGUAACUGGUCUGAGAGGAUGACCAGUCACACUGGAACGGAGACACGACCAAGCGUCCUACGGUAGGCAGCAGUGGGGAAUAUUGGACAAUGAGCGAAAGCCUGAUCCAGCCAUGCCGCGUGUUUGAAGAAGGUCUUCGGGUUGUAAAGCACUUUAAGUUGGGAGGAAGGGUUGUAGAUUAAUACUCUGCAAUUUUGACGUUACCGACAGAAUAAGCACCGGCUAACUCUGUGCCAGCCGCCGCAGUAAGAC
rnacentral:rRNA from 1 species